CUAGGUGUGAGUCCCUUCCACGGGGUUCGUGCCGUAGCUAACGCAUUAAGCGCCCCGCCUGGGGAGUACGGCCGCAAGGCUAAAACUCAAAGGAAUUGACGGGGGCCCGCACAAGCGGCGGAGCAUGUGGAUUAAUUCGAUGCAACGCGAAGAACCUUACCUGGGCUUGACAUAUACAGGAUUGCUGCAGAGAUGUAGUUUCCCUUGUGGCUUGUAUACAGGUGGUGCAUGGUUGUCGUCAGCUCGUGUCGUGAGAUGUUGGGUUAAGUCCCGCAACGAGCGCAACCCUUGUCUUAUGUUGCCAGCACGUUAUGGUGGGGACUCAUGAGAGACUGCCGGGGUCAACUCGGAGGAAGGUGGGGAUGACGUCAAAUCAUCAUGCCCCUUAUGUCCAGGGCUUCACACGUGCUACAAUGGUCGGUACAAUGCGCAGCGACACUGUGAGGUGGAGCGAAUCGCUGAAAGCCGGUCUUAGUUCGGAUUGGGGUCUGCAACUCGACCCCAUGAAGUUGGAGUCGCUAGUAAUCGCAGAUCAGCAAUGCUGCGGUGAAUACGUUCCCGGGCCUUGUACACACCGCCCGUCACGUCAUGAAAGUUGGUAACACCCGAAGCCAGUGGCUCAAACUCGUUAGGGAGCUGUCGAAGGUGGGAUCGGCGAUUGGGACGAAGUCGUAACAAGGUAGCCGUACCGGAAGGUGCGGCUGGAUCACCUCCUUUCUAAGGAGCUUUAUUUAGCCCACAGUUGUGGGUAUACCGAAGGCAUUGUUUUUUUUUUAGUGGCAUGUCCUGGACCCGAAGCGGGGUGAUCUACCCAUGGCCAGUGUGAAGCAGCUGUAAGAGGUUGUGGAGGCGCGAACCCACGUAGGUUGAAAACUGCGGGGAUGAGCUGUGGGUAGGGGUGAAAGGCCAAUCAAACUCCGUGAUAGCUGGUUCUCCCCGAAAUGCAUUUAGGUGCAGCGUCGCAUUAGCUUGGUGGAGGUAGAGCUACUGGUUGGUUGAGCGGGACUACAAUCUUAGCAAUGUCAGCCAAACUCCGAAUGCCAUUAAUGUGUUGUGCGGCAGUGAGACUGUGGGGGAUAAGCUUCAUAGUCGAGAGGGAAACAGCCCAGAUCGCCGGUUAAGGCCCCUAAGGGUGUGCUAAGUGGAAAAGGAUGUGGGAUCGCGAAGACAGCCAGGAGGUUGGCUUAGAAGCAGCCAUCCUUGAAAGAGUGCGUAAUAGCUCACUGGUCGAGUGGUUUCGCGCCGACAAUGUAGUGGGGCUCAAGCACACCGCCGAAGCCGCGGCAAUACUUUUGUUAUUGGGUAGGGGAGCGUCGUGCAUGUUGUGAAGCGUUACCGUAAGGCGGCGUGGAGUAUGUGCGAGUGAGAAUGCAGGCAUGAGUAACGAAUUGGUAGGUGAGAAUCCUACCCGCCGGAUGACUAAGGGUUCCUGGGUCAAGUUCGUCUUCCCAGGGUGAGUCGGGACCUAAGGCGAGGCCGACAGGCGUAGUCGAUGGAUAACCAGUUGAUAUUCUGGUACCCGUAUACAUGCGCCCCUGAUAAAGCACUGAUACUAACCACCGCGGAUACGACACUUAACUAACUUUGUUGGUUGGUGUUGUUGAUGUCGUGGGGCCUGAUGUGUGGUUCAAGCGAUGGGGUGACACAGUGGGGUAGCCAAGCCGCUUAAUGGAUUGUUGGUGUAAGCGUGUAGCCGGAGGCAUAGGUAAAUCCGUGCCUCAAUUGAAGGUGAGACGUGAUGCGUAGCCCGAUUGGGGUGAAGUUGGUGAUCCCGUGCUGUCGAGAAAAGCCUCUAGCGAUGUAUGUAUAUGGCCCGUACCCUAAACCGACACAGGUAGUCAGGUUGAAAAUACUAAGGCGUUCGGGUGAACUGUGGUUAAGGAACUCGGCAAAAUGCCCCCGUAACUUCGGGAGAAGGGGGACCACAUACCGUGACAAGUCCUUGCGGCUUGAAGCGGUGUGGGGUCGCAGAGAAUAGAGGGAAGCGACUGUUUAUCAAAAACACAGGUCCAUGCGAAGACGUUAAGUUGAUGUAUAUGGACUGACGCCUGCCCGGUGCUGGAAGGUUAAGAGGACCGGUUAGUACAUCGUUGAUGUGCGAAGCUGAGAAUUUAAGCCCCAGUAAACGGCGGUGGUAACUAUAACCAUCCUAAGGUAGCGAAAUUCCUUGUCGGGUAAGUUCCGACCUGCACGAAUGGCGUAACGACUUCCCUGCUGUCUCAACCACAGGCCCGGUGAAAUUGCACUACGAGUAAAGAUGCUCGUUACGCGCGGCAGGACGAAAAGACCCCGGGACCUUCACUAUAGCUUGGUAUUGGUGUUUGGUUCGGUUUGUGUAGGAUAGGUGGGAGACUUAGAAACUAUCACGCCAGUGAUGGUGGAGUCGUUGUUGAAAUACCACUCUGAUCGGAUUGAGCACCUUAACCUUGGCCCAUGAUCUGGGUUGGGGACAGUGCCUGGUGGGUAGUUUAACUGGGGCGGUUGCCUCCCAAAAUGUAACGGAGGCGCCCAAAGGUUCCCUCAGCCUGGUUGGCAAUCAGGUGUUGAGUGUAAGUGCACAAGGGAGCUUGACUGUGAGAGUGACAGCUCAAACAGGGACGAAAGUCGGGACUAGUGAUCCGGCACCUACUUAUGGAUGUGGUGUCGCUCAACGGAUAAAAGGUACCCCGGGGAUAACAGGCUGAUCUUCCCCAAGAGUUCAUAUCGACGGGAUGGUUUGGCACCUCGAUGUCGGCUCGUCGCAUCCUGGGGCUGGAGUAGGUCCCAAGGGUUGGGCUGUUCGCCCAUUAAAGCGGCACGCGAGCUGGGUUCAGAACGUCGUGAGACAGUUCGGUCUCUAUCCGCCGCGCGCGCUGAAACUUGAAGAAGGCUGUCCCUAGUACGAGAGGACCGGGACGGACGUACCUCUAGUGUGCCAGUUGUUCCGCCAGGAGCAUCGCUGGUUGGCUACGUACGGAAGGGAUAACCGCUGAAAGCAUCUAAGCGGGAAGCCUGUUUUAAGAUGAGGUUUCACUACAAGGCCCCCUAAAGACUAUGGGGUUGAUAGGCCAGACCUGGAAGCAUUGCAAAAUGUUAAGGCUACUGGUACUAAUAGGCCAAAACAAACACACA
rnacentral:rRNA from 1 species